UCCACGCGCUUCACUCCGACCAGCUCCUGUGCUGCUAUCCACGCAGUUCUCUAUACCGCUGUUCUCAUUCAGUUACUUUACGCUUCUGAGGAUCAGUAAACCCAAUUUGGUCAGUCCGGUUCGGUGGUGUUUUUAAGCCGUAAUCCAGCGCGUAUCCUGUUGUGUGUUAGCGGGUUUCUUGUUACUUUCUUGUUGUCCGUACAGUUUGGAGGCGGCGCGGACAAGAGCACCAGACCAGAGCAUCGGGAGCAGCUCACACUCACUCUGCCCUCGUGAUUUCCUGCAUAUGUGUGUAGUUCGUGCAUGCACGGAUUUGACAUGUUUUAAUUUGCAACUUUCAUUCUCUCCCAGUGUGAAAAGGUGCAGAGUAAAAUCGUUUCGUCGCGUGCAAAACAGUUUGUCCACGCAGGAACGAGGUAGUUUCCAUCAAGGAUUGUAAAAAGGAUUGUGAACAGCUUUUAUUUGUUGAUGUAGGUGGAUUUUGUAUUUCUUGUCUCACCGGUAACUGCUCCGAGAAGGAAUGCGCUUCUACCCCGCCCGGACUACAGACUGAAAGCCGGCACGCGCAGUCGCUGCAGCGGUGCUUUAAUAAAAUCUACAUUCACGUAAUUCCCCUUUGGCACUGUAACAGCUCUUGGACAUCCUUAGAGUAGGAACAGUUUAUGCACAGACCUGUGGAAGUUUUCAUACAGGAAAGGGUUGAUCCCUUGUGAGUUGGCUGCUGGUGUGCGUGUGUUUGUUUGUUUGUUUGUUUGUUUUUCACCUGACGCUCGUGGCCCGGACAGAUCCCGGUACCACGUACCUGUAUCAGGACUGAGCUGUGCGCUCGAGCUUUUUGGAGAUGGCUCCGGUGGGGAUGCUGCUGAUCGGGGCUGUGUUACUCUGGGUAUCGGUGUUGGGUGAAGAACCCGCCGCUAAAGCCGUCGCCGACCGAUACGCCGUCUACUGGAACCGCACGAAUCCCCGAUUUUACAGAGGUGACUACCACCUUGAUGUGUGCAUCAAUGAUUACCUGGACGUCUACUGUCCCCACUACAUGGACUCUGUGCCAGAAGAGAGGACUGAGCGCUACAUGCUGUACAUGGUCAACUAUGAUGGCUACAGCUCCUGCGACCACACAGCGACGGGCUUCAAACGCUGGGAGUGCAAUCGGCCCUACUCUCCCAACGGGCCACUCAAGUUCUCUGAGAAGUUUCAGCUUUUCACACCAUUCUCACUGGGUUUCGAGUUCCGACCAGGCAGAGAAUACUACUAUAUAUCCUCUACAGUCGCUGAGAAUGGGAGAAAAACCUGCCUGAGGCUGAAAGUUUUCGUCAGACCAGCAAACAACUGCGUGAAAAUUGUCAGCGUUCAUGACAGGGUCUUUGAUGUCAAUGACAGUAACUCACUAGAGCCGAGAGAUGAUACGAGCCACGAAUCAGCCGAGCCAUCCCGAGGGGACGUUAAUUCUGCUGGACGUGAAGACGCCAGAACUCAGUCGAUGAGAGUGGGAUCUUCUCAUCCAGGAUGCAUUACAGGAUGGCUCUUGGUGGAUAUUGGUAGACUCCCAGAUACAUGUAUAUGCAUACACACAGCUUCUUUCAUCAAGCAAUGACUUACCUUAAAACGGAAGGUGGAAAAGACAUAUAUACUUUUUUGUUUGUUUGUUUGUUUGUUUGUUUGUUUGUUUUUUGGACAUUAUUUCUGUAAAAGGAAUGGCGGACUCUCAUCAACAUGUCUACGAGCAAGGUAGCUGAUCUCUGGAAACAUAGGAACAUUUUGGACACAACUGUGUACAGAACUGAUGGAGAACUGGUUUCAGAUAACUGGUUUCUUCUAUCAAAAAAAGAAUGAGAAUUUUUAAUGGGGUGAGCCUUUACCUGAGGACUUUGUUAUUUUUAAGGAGUUUUCUUAUAUAAGCAGAAAUAAGCACUCGUCUGUUUUGUACAUUGUGUACAGACUAAAAAGCAGAAUACAAAGUGGAGUCUGUAUUCUUGAAGUGAAUAAGUGCUCAAGUGUAGUAGCAACAGUGUUUUUUUGUUUGUUUGUUUUUUAAUAGGUUUUGGAGCCUCACUGAUUAAUUGUACAUGGAUCAUCAUGGAGAAGUCUGGCUCAGUCCCUCCACAUGCCCCUGUGUUGGUCAUCUUCACCUAAUGCUU